rnacentral:rRNA from 1 species
CAGUCGCCGCGGUAAUACGAAGGGUGCAAGCGUUAAUCGGAAUUACUGGGCGUAAAGCGUGCGUAGGCGGUUUGUUAAGUCUGUUGUGAAAUCCCCGGGCUCAACCUGGGAAUGGCAGUGGAUACUGGCUCGCUAGAGUGUGUCAGAGGAUGGUGGAAUUCCCGGUGUAGCGGUGAAAUGCGUAGAGAUCGGGAGGAACAUCAGUGGCGAAGGCGGCCAUCUGGGACAACACUGACGCUGAGGCACGAAAGCGUGGGGAGCAAACAGGAUUAGAUACCCCAGUAGUCCCUGUCUCUUAUAA